rnacentral:lncRNA from 1 species
CUUUGGUCUUUGAUGACGGUGACAUGCAGAUGGGGUUUUAGUAUGGAUGUCCUUUCUGUUCGUUAGUUUUCCUUCUAACAGUUAGGACCCUCAGCUACAGGUCUGUUGGAGUUUGCUGGAGAUCCACUCCAGACGCUGUUUGCCUGGGUAUCACCAGCGGAGGCUGCAGAACAGCGAAUAUUGGUGAACAGCAAAUGUUUCUGCCUGACCGUUCCUCUGGAAGCUUCAUCUCACAGGGGUACCCGGCCAUGUGAGUUGUCAGUCUGCAC